GAAGGCAGGGGAGAAGUGCUUGCGACAGACAGUGCCUGGGAGAGAAGCCACAGUGGAGUAGAGCUAACUCCUGUGGUGGGUCUCUGAAGCAAGAGGCCAGGUGCUCCAGAAAGAGCUGGCUGAAACUGGGGAACUGCAAAGAGCAGGAUCACCAGAGACGCCUGGGACAGGUGUCUGUGAAACCCAAAGACAAAAGGUUUGCUCAUCAUUAUGAUCCAAUGACGGAUGCACCGUCGGGCUGAAGACCAUAUCAGAGAAGGGGAACUGAAAUCACUUCAUCCACCUGCUGAGCUAUUCUAACCAUUGACAGCAAGAUCUCAGACAAGAUACUGAAGGCACAGUGUGUCCAGAUCUCAUACUGAUUCAGAAGCCGUUUCAAGAAGCACAUAACCUUACUCCUGUUCAAGUGACUGUGGUUUGACACCUCCGUUUCCUACUUUGGCAUCAACACCUCUUUUUGCCUUUCCUCCUCUGCUUGCCCAAAGCAACAGCCAUUUCGCAGCACGUGUUUCUCAGAACUGAUCCCACUUCCUGGCUCUGACAACAAGGGCCAGCCUUUCAGACUCUGCAAAGGGCAAAUGGCAGGCGAGCAGCUGUCGGCACCUCAUGCACCAAGGAGUGGAGCUGGCACCGCACUGGGGCCAGAGCAAUAUGCAAAGACAUGGGAAGGGAGACAAACACCACAUCAUGCCCACAGUUUUCCUAAGGCUUAGCAUCUGAGACGGUCUAGAACAAGGGUGGCCAAACCGUGGGUCAAAACCGCAUGCGGAUCUUUUACAGAUAAAGUGUGGCUCUCAGAACCCCACCCCCAUUCUUCACCUAUCAGACUGCAGAGGACGGGGUAUGGGGGAGAAGCUCGGGACCUCUGCCUUGCAGCGGAAUGGUGGGGUAGGGGCUUCUGCCCAGCAGGGAGGGGUGUUUUGGGGCUACAGCCCCAUGGGGUGCGGCAGCCGGGGCUCAAGCCUUCAGCAGGAGCAGUGCUGAAGCCCUGAGUCCUGGCAAGCGCCUCCUGCAGGGCUGAAGCCCUGAGCCCCGGCGGGUGUGCCCUGGCUCUCAAACUUUGGAAGAUUGUCAGAUGUGGCUCGGAGGGUCAGUAAGUUUGGCCACCCUGGUACAGAACAUGCCAACAAUAGUUGGGUGCUGCUACUCCACUGCCCCCCUGUAGGGAAUUUUUUUUUAGCAAAGGCCAGAGAUAUGACUACCCUCACCCACUCACUGGCAUAGGGGAUAGCAUAAUUUGUUGCUGGUAUAGGCAAGCAGCAAACUACUGUAUUUCCUUCCCCUUCCCCAGAAGCCAGGAGGAAGCAGGGGUAGAACUGUGACUCAGAGGGGUGUCUCUGAGUCACAGUGCAUCCCGGGGCUUCUCCUAACUUGGCAUUGCUUCCUCACUACCCUUUGUUCAGGGCUGCAUCUAGGGUCACAGUCCAGCCCUGUGUGAUCUGACUGGCUGAAAGCGGUUCAGUUAUUUCUGGUGUAUGGUGGGAUAUGUUUCCUGGUAUCUCCUCCAUCAGCAGAUGGUGAGUUUCUUUGGGAAACCACUUUCUUUUUAAUGUAAAAACUUUCUUCAAAGCUGUUAUAGGGCUGCUGUGAUGCUGGCUCACGGCAGAAUCAACCUUACUAAACCAGCCAUUA